rnacentral:lncRNA from 1 species
CUAAUUCAUAAUGGGUUCUGUCCAUCAUAUACAGAAAUGCUCUCUUUUUUCUUGAGUCAAAUAUAAUUGUGCCUGUGCUCAUACACUUUCUGUGUGCAGUGCUUGGCCUCUGCAUUUAAGAAAUGCAACCCCAGGAAGUGUUUAUAGAAGGCUAAAUAUAGGUUUAUCUGUUCUAGUCUUUCCAUGAAAGAUCUUUUUCCUUCAACACAUGGAGAUUAAAUACACAGAGCAAUAUUAGUUAACACUUAAGUUAUGGCACUCUCCUAAAAACGCCAGGAAAUUCCGUUUUGAAGUUGAUGUUCCAGUCCUAACUCCUGUUGACUUUGUAUUUCUUUUCUCUCACAGGCAUGAGCUGAGGAUGGAGUGUGGCUGGAAGCAGAGUGAUGCUGCCUCAGGCUGACACCUCACAUUAAUCUUGUCAGCGAAACUAGAAAUGGACUUGAGACGUGAAGUUCACAUCCCAGCAUGGGUCUGAACUUUCUUGAAGUUCAGAUUUCUGCAGAGGCUGCCUUUAACUCUCUUGCUCCUGGAAGAUGGGAGCGAUGUCUGAGUCUUUCUGCAUGUGGCGGUACGGGAUGAGGAGUCGGGCAGAUGUGGAAUGGGGACAGCCAAGGCAGGGUUGGGCUUUGUGCUUGUCCAGGCUCUGAGACAAAGGCAGAGGGAUAAGGAGUGCAAUUCCGGUCCUAUGGACAUGAAUGGCAAAGCUUCCUCUGAUUGCAACAGAGCCUGAAUUUCCCUCAAGCUGAAGAGGCAGAUGACAGAUGGACAAUCAGACAGACGCUGGUUAAUUGAAUCAUUUGAGCUAAGCAGGCUUAUUUGUUUAAAAGACAAGUGGUUGCUGAUAGGAGUGUGUCAUCAUAGCCAUUCUGUGCUGCUUAUCGUACAUGUCUGGGAACCUGAAAACGGAAGGAAGAUCUAGAUCGAGGCUCCCAAGGAAUGUUCUGUACUCAGCUCUGACCACUGAAAUGGGUUUGAGAACCUGCAAGACCCUCCAGAGACCUCACCCAGCCCUUGGGAGCUUCACCAGGAUACCCAAACUUCUUUUUCUUCCACAGUUCAGCCCUGUGCUGUUAAGCAGCCCCUCAGAAAGAGCAGCAAUGUUGUGGGAAGUGUAUGUGGGGCUGCUCUUAUGGGAGCAGCUGCUGCUGUGGUGCAUCAGUCUUCACAGGAUCGCUCCCCCAGCUGAACUGCGAACUCAUAAAGGUGGAGUAAAAGCAAUCAAGCACCUGGAGCUCCAGUACAUUUCUUUAAGCCAGAGAAGAAGAGCAAACAGCUAG